rnacentral:rRNA from 1 species
GACGAACGCUGGCGGCGUGCUUAACACAUGCAAGUCGAACGGAAAGGCCCUGCUUUUGUGGGGUGCUCGAGUGGCGAACGGGUGAGUAACACGUGAGUAACCUGCCCUUGACUUUGGGAUAACUUCAGGAAACUGGGGCUAAUACCGGAUAGGAGCUCCUGCUGCAUGGUGGGGGUUGGAAAGUUUCGGCGGUUGGGGAUGGACUCGCGGCUUAUCAGCUUGUUGGUGGGGUAGUGGCUUACCAAGGCUUUGACGGGUAGCCGGCCUGAGAGGGUGACCGGCCACAUGGGGACUGAGGCACGGCCGAGAGUCCGACGGGAGGGAGCGGUGGGGAAUAUUGCGCAAUGGGCGGAAGCCUGAACCCGCAACGCCGCGUGCGGGAUGACGGCAUUCGGGUUGUAAACCGCUUCCGCCUGUAACGAAGCGUGAGCGACGGUAAUGGGUAAAGAAGCAAACGCUAACUACGUG